UGGGGAAUUUUCCGCAAUGGGCGCAAGCCUGACGGAGCAACGCCGCGUGAGUGACGAAGGCCUUAGGGUCGUAAAGCUCUUUCGCCAGGGAAGAUAAUGACGGUACCUGGUAAAGAAACCCCGGCUAACUCCGUGCCAGCAGCCGCGGUAAUACGGAGGGGGUUAGCGUUGUUCGGAAUUACUGGGCGUAAAGCGCGCGUAGGCGGACCAGUUAGUCAGAGGUGAAAUCCCGGGGCUCAACCCCGGAACUGCCUUUGAUACUGCUGGUCUUGAGUCCGAGAGAGGUGAGUGGAAUUCCGAGUGUAGAGGUGAAAUUCGUAGAUAUUCGGAGGAACACCAGUGGCGAAGGCGGCUCACUGGCUCGGUACUGACGCUGAGGUGCGAAAGCGUGGGGAGCAAACAGGAUUAGAUACCCCGGUAGUCC
rnacentral:rRNA from 1 species